GUGGAAAGUAAGGUUCUCUUUAAGGAGUGGCUGCUCUCUGAGUUUUCUGUUGAGGAAUAUUGUGUUGCUGAGGAGUGUUAUCACCUUAGAGAAGAAUUAUCACAGAGUGAAUUACAUAGAAAAGUUUUUGGCUUCUUUUAAAACAAAGUCGAAGGCCUUAAAAUCUUUCACUCUGUUUGAUUAUCCUUAUAUUGGUUGGGACAAAGAAGUGGUGGACUGGUAUGAUAAUGCGAUACAGUCAAAGAAGAAAUAAAUGACUGCAAGAGACUUCUUUGAAUCAAAUUGGGGACGCAUUGUUGAUUUCUCACCUGUUGUCCAUGACGCACUCCUGAAUCCCAACGCACCUAACGUCGGAGAAGACUAUAUUUUUGAAUCAGCAUUAUUAUUUUAUGGAAACAGAAUAAGUGAGGGUGCUGCCUUACUUGUGUUGGACAGUUCGUGGCAGUUUCAGUGGAAUAGAAACGAGUUAGUUGAAUUGUUUUCUGAAGUGUACAGAUUUUUAGUUCAAUUAAGAAACAACGAGAGAUGUCAGUAUAGGUAUUGGCAUUUAAGAAAAGCAAAGUGGUUGCCUUUGUGGUAUGUUUAUGAAUGAGGGUGUUUGAAGUUAAAGUAGAUCUUAAGACUUUGUCUAAGCAGGAUAGUUUUGUUACGUUUUGUGAAGGUUACAUAGUGAGUGCACGUUGGCAGU